ensembl:lncRNA
AUGUCUCCCACUCAGUUCAUCACACAGUCCCCUCCUCCACCUCCUCCACCACCACCACCACCUCCUCCUCCUCCCCAGGUGAAUGGGUUGGACUCCCCAUUCCCAAAAGUGACAGCUGGGACAAUGGUGACCUUAACAAACUCCCGCCCCUCUACUGGACACGCCAAGUCUCAGGCUAAGACAAGUUCAGACCGUCCUCCUCAGAGACUGAAGAAAGCGAAGGACAGCAAACCCAAGGUGAAGAAGCUGAAGUACCACCAGUACAUCCCUCCGGACCAGAAGGCAGACAAGGAGCGUCCGCCCCAGAUGGACUCGUCCUACGCCAAGCUCCUCCACCAGCAGCAACUCUUCCUACAGCUGCAGAUCCUCAACCAGCAACAGCAGCACUAUAACUACCACACCAUUCUGCCCGCCCCCCCCCAAGCAACCGACCGAGCAGCAUCCCAUAACCAACUCUGGCCCUUCCCCCUCCCGAAGUGUUCCCACGGCGACCACCCCCGCCCCAUCCAAUCCGAGCGGGACGGCCCGUCAGAUCCAAAGCGCCGUGGGAGGAGCCAAACCAGGCACUCUGCCCGCCAACUUGGAUGAGUUCAAAGUUGCCGAGUUGAAACAGGAAUUGAAAUUGCGUGGUUUGACCGUCUCGGGCACCAAGAACGAUCUUAUUGAGAGGCUUCGCAACUACCAGGAGCAAAAUGGCGGCACUGCAGCGGUUUCUAAAAAAAAACGGCAACCCGCAGGGCGCCAUCUCAGCUGCUGGCACCUCCACAUCCUCCCCAACCACGACCACCACCUCUGACCACCAAUCAGGAGAGGGCGGCUUUAAGUUGGAUUUGUCGUCAUUGGCUCAGGUGAUUCCCGGGCGCGUCAUGCGAUUCGGCAGCACCAGCUCCAGCCCCCCCCAUGUCACCUACUCCCUCCGAGAGGUCGUUGGCCGGGAUGAGUCCGGAUGAGACCAGCUGUAAUGGAGACAUGUUUGGAGAGAUGGUGAGACACCAGAUGGAAAGCUGUUGGUUGGUUGUCACUAUGUUAAAUAACUCUUUUGUUAAGGACACGUCUCCCUAACAUUGUCGUCAUGCUUUGUCCUUCAGGUGAGCUCCCCCCCUGACCCAGCUCACCCUGCACCCUUCUCCCCAGCACCCAUCCAACAUCUCUCAGCUCUCCAUGGUCAAAGAGGAGAUGCAGAGCUCAUGCAGUCUCUCCAGGAGCUCACCCGCCGCGUGUCAGCCUCCAGAGCCGCUGUCUGCAGUGGCCAUGGACACAUCCUCUUUGGAAAAGGACCAGAUGCUCCAGGAGAAGGACAAACAGAUCGAGGAGUUGACCAGGAUGCUGAGGCAGAAGCAGAGGCUGGUGGAGACCCUCCGGUCCCAGCUGGAACAUGGCAAGAUGACUAGUGGAGUCGUGCUGAAGAGGGAAGAAAGUGAGAAGAGCAGAACCCCCGAGGUUAAACUUCCAACUCUAAUCAAAGCGUCUGCCGUUCAGCCCCCCCUCUCUGACCAACGGCAUCGCGGUGACGGUGAAGAAGGAGAUGGAGCCUGAGGAGGGGAUGGAGGGAGUGACGGAGGCGCUCCAGGUGAGGAGAGCCGCCCCGUCGAUGCAGUGCUCCCAGGACACUCUCCUCAGGCUGCAGCAGAGUCAUCGGCUGCAGCUGCAACAAGCCGAGCAGGAGAAAGAGUCACAGCAGCAGAGCCAGGAGCAACCACACAAGGCGGCAGAGGCCUCGUCGAACGCUCAGAAGCUGCAGCUGCAGCAGAAGAAAGAAGCCCAGAUCCUGCUCCAUCAGCAGAAGCAGCUGCAGCAACUUAUCAUACAGCAAACCCAACAGAAACAGCAGAGGCUAGUGCAGCAGAGGCUCAGUCAGCAGAAGCUGGUGCAGCAGCACCAGCUGAAACAAACUCAAGUUCAACAAAGCCAACAGAAGAACCCGGUCCAGGUCAAGCAAGUUCUGCAGAUCCAGAGGCCUGCAGCGAACCAAAGCCAGCAGAGGAAGCAGCUGAGGGCUCAGCAGCGGCAGCAGGAGAGGCAGCAAGCGGCAGCUGUCACCACACAGCAGGUAACGGCCCGGCAGCUCGGCAUAACGGCGCAUUAGGGAAGUGCUGCGGUAGAGAUUUCAACACAGACUUUAUAUAAAGUGAGUUAAAGUUUUAAAGUGCACUGUUUCCAUUUUCAGGUGACCCCAGUCUUUAUUAACCAACAGAACGGUACUCAGGCCCAAACUCAGGCCCUUUCAUUAGACCUCCUCAAGGCUAACGGGACCCCAACACUGGUCACCGAUAGCAACGGAAACCACUACCUGAUUGCUCUGACCAGUCCCCCCGCAGAUGGACAGAACGGAGUUUCCUCAUUGGCCAAAGCCAACGGACGCAUCACACUGCAGGUACGGGAGCUGUGUUGUUUGUUGGGUGACUGCAGAUGGUUAACAAGCUCUGCUGUGAUGUUCAUCUCCGACUUUCUCUUCUCGUCUGUUAGAGGCUGCAAUCGAGUCCGAGUAAAGUCCUCAGCAGUGGGAGCCAAUCAAAGGAGCCAGCAGUGGCUGAGCCAAUCAAAAAGGUACUUUAAACACCUAUUUUUUUCUUAUUGUGCACUUAUUCAUGUCAUUUAUAUGAAACUGUGUAAUCUCCUUUUACACUUACAAUAUACAUCAAUGAAUUGACUCAAAAGAAGAGAGGUUAUCACCACCGGCUUCCACUGAGGAAAUCCUCAAAACAAAUGUCACCGACAGUUUGGAAACCGUUACGGUUCUCCCCGGAUUCUUUUGUCCUCAUCUGGCACCGUAGUGAAUCAGGACCGUCUGUGUCCUCCAAGCAGUUCCCUCCGCCUGCCACAAGGCGUCUCCACUGGCCCAGUGCAGAAUCAUCUCCAGCCAACAGAACGUAGACUGACAUGUGAUCCAGCAGCCCGUCGUUGAGACUAGAGCAGCCAAUCACAGCUCAGUUUGUCCCUCUCUCCUCACUCAGGGACAGAAGGCAGGGCUGCACCUGGACACCAAUGGCGUACCUCCACCCUGCCCGUCGGUCACCGCUCCGCCCAAUCUGCAUCCUUUCUUUGAAGACAUGUCGGACAGUGAAAGCCAGAGUAACUUAAUGUCAUCGCUUAAGGUAACGCGACCCCCCCCCCGGCCCUUCGCUCCCAUGCUUCCCCGUCGCCAUGUCCUCCCUUCUGAUCUGGAAACUCCAUUAACUUUUUCUCCUUGUUUCUUUCCCCUUUCUUUUCAUUUCAUCACUUCCUCCCUGCAGAGAGAGGUGUGUCUGCCUUACGACCGGCACACACUGUUCACCCCUCCCUCUCCCAAACCCAACACCUCCCUUCCUACUCAACGCUCCAAAGUAUGUCUUUCUUUUCGUCUGUCCUGUAGUGGUUGUCCGUCUUUUGUCUGUGCCUCCGUUUCCCAUCUCUCAGCCUCUCACACGGAGCGCUGUGCUCACCCAACCGAAGGUAGUCCAAUGGCUUUUGGGCAGAGAGCUGGUGGUGUUGGCUUGGAUUCACUGUGGAGUGUGUUUGUGUGUGAUGUGUGUCUCUGAGAGCGAAGAGGCUGCUGCAGGAAUUGGUUCGUUCUUGUUACGAAGAGUGAGACAUGUGUUGACCAAAGUUACUAACCCUUAAUUUAGUAAAACUUCUAAAUAACAUCUGUAAGUUGUUAUUUUGUGUGUUAGACAGCUGCAGUCUUACAACUAAAGUUGAAUUCUAAAACUUUUUUAUUACAAAAUGUGUUUGUUUAUCUUUGGAUAAAGAAAAAAGGAAGUAUCAAGUCCGGCCCUUCAUUGCCAACGAAUACUAUAAUAAUACCAUAAUACCCAACGAUCUACUUCCUGUUUAAACCGGCAUGCGCAGUGUAGGGAAUAACAACGUGCUACUCGAUGCUGGUACGGAUGGAAAUCAUUUCUAAAGUGAUGCUGAUACGUCCGUGUGGACCAAAUCCAAAUAGAAGCUUUUCAUUUCGGUCAGAAGUCCAGCAAAGGACUGAGGAAUGUGGCUUACGGUCCGCGGGACAGAAAAAAAAACAAACAUUCAUCUGGAAAUGUGCAAAGUUUACGUUAAAACAAGAACACCAUUAGUUUAUCUCAUAUUACCAUAAUUUCACAUGAUACAUUUAUCAUAUACUUGAUUUGCUGCACGUGAGGAACGUGCGAUCAUUUUCAACCACCAAGAAACUAACCAAAAAGCAAGGAAUGGGUUGUAGUGCAUGUCUGCUGUGGGAAGCCAGUGGUUCUGUGGUUGCAGGUGUAAAUGUUUUCUGACCCCCCCCCCCUCUGUUUGCAGGAGAACGGCGUCAACAGUCAGCAAAUGGACGACCUGUUUGACAUCCUGCUGAAGAGCGGAGGUAAGAAGCUCUGAUCCAAACAUUAACAAGAGCUACACGAGUCUCCGUCUCCUAACGUCUUUCUCUGUCCUCCUUUAGAACUCCCCGGCUUUAAGUCCAACCCGGACCCUUCCCUCGCCCCCCCUCCACUCUGACCCGCCCUCCCCGUCCUCUCCCCCGUCUCCCCUCCACCACCUGUCCCCCCCCACCCCUACGGAGUCCCUCAUCUCCCCGCAGGCCUCUGUGGGGGAGCACUGCACGGGCAGCGGGCGCCUGGAGGACUUCCUGGAGAGCACCACUGGGGCGCCGCUCCUCGGCGUGGAGCCCGGCGGCGGCCUGUCGCUGAUCGACGACCUCCACAGCCAGAUGCUGAGCACGCCCAGUAUCCUGGAGCACCCGUCCUCCCCGAUGGACACGUCCGACCUGGGCUUCUCCCCCCACCCGGCGGGGCUGGACUUUGGCGACCCCACCCUGGACAGCAUGGACUGGCUGGAUAUUUCCAUGGUGGGGAUUGCCGGCGGCAGUGGGGGUCGAGGCGGAGGAGGAGGAGGAGGAGGGGUGGGGGGGAGACGCAG